CCUACGGGAGGCAGCAGUGGGGAAUAUUGCGCAAUGGACGAAAGUCUGACGCAGCGACGCCGCGUGGGUGAUGAAGUUCUUCGGAACGUAAAACCCUGUCUGGUGGAACGAAAAAAAUGACGGUACCACCGAAGGAAGCCCCGGCUAACUCCGUGCCAGCAGCCGCGGUAAUACGGGGGGGGCUAGCGUUAUUCGGAAUUACUGGGUGUAAAGGGCGCGUAGGCGGCCUUGCUAGUCAGGUGUGAAAUCCCUCGGCUCAACUGAGGAACUGCGCUUGAUACUGCAAGGCUUGAGUACAGGAGAGGUGGGCGGAAUUCCCGGUGUAGCGGUGAAAUGCGUAGAUAUCGGGAAGAACAUCGGUGGCGAAGGCGGCUCACUGGACUGUAACUGACGCUGAGGCGCGAAAGCGUGGGGAGCGAACGGGAUUAGAUACCCCGGUAGUCCACGCUGUAAACGUUGGGUACUUGGUGUUGGGAGUUUGAGUCUCCCAGUGCCGUAGCAAACGCGUUAAGUACCCCACCUGGGGAGUACGGUCGCAAGGCUGAAACUUAAAGGAAUUGACGG
rnacentral:rRNA from 1 species